CCGAGUUUACAACUCCCAAACCCCAUGUGAACAUUACCAAACUGUUGCCUCGGCGGGUCAUUCAUGCCCCGGGCGCGUCGCAGCCCCGGAACCAGGCGCCCGCCGGAGGACCAACCAAACUCUUCUGUAUGUCCCCUCGCGGACGUUAUAUUCUUACCAGCUCUGCGCCCUAACGGCUUUCGAAAAUGAAUCA
rnacentral:misc_RNA from 1 species